rnacentral:rRNA from 1 species
GGACUACCCGGGUAUCUAAUCCUGUUUGCUCCCCACGCUUUCGCGCUUGAGCGUCAGGUACAAGCCAAGAAGCUGCCUUCGCAACCGGUAUUCCUCUCGAGAUCUACGCAUUUUACCGCUACUCCGAGAAUUCUACUUCUCUCUCUUGCCCUCUAGCCCGCCAGUUUUAAUUGCCUUUCCCCGGUUGAGCCAAGGUCUUUAACAAUUAACUUAACAGGCCGCCUACACGCUCUUUACGCCCAGUAAUUCCGAAUAACGCUUGCACCCUUCGUAUUACCGCGGCUGCUGGCAC